rnacentral:rRNA from 1 species
CCUACGGGAGGCAGCAGUGGGGAAUAUUGCACAAUGGGGGAAACCCUGAUGCAGCGACGCCGCGUGAGUGAAGAAGUAAUUCGUUAUGUAAAGCUCUAUCAGCAGGGAAGAAAAUGACGGUACCUAAGUAAGAAGCCCCGGCUAACUACGUGCCAGCAGCCGCGGUAAUACGUAGGGGGCAAGCGUUAUCCGGAUUUACUGGGUGUAAAGGGAGCGUAGACGGCAGUGCAAGUCAGGAGUGAAAGGCGGGGGCUCAACCCCCGGACUGCUCUUGAAACUGUACGGCUGGAGUGCAGGAGAGGUAAGUGGAAUUCCUGGUGUAGGGGUGAAAUGCGUAGAUAUUAGGAGGAACACCAGUGGCGAAGGCGGCUGACUGGACUGUAACUGACGUUGAGGCUCGAAAGCGUGGGGAGCAAACAGGAUUAGAUACCCGAGUAGUC